rnacentral:lncRNA from 1 species
AUCAAAUGAUGCUUAACUUCGAGGAAAAUGGAAACAAAUACAUUUUGAUAAUGUCUACGGACAAGACAUUUUAUUGAUAUUCAAUUAAAUGCUUUCAAAGAUGAUUGUUAAAGUUAAGAUUAAAAGUUACUAAUUAAAUUUUAAGUUGUGUUUUUUAAAUUUUGGAAAAUAUAAAAAUGUAUCCACAAUUCUUUACAUAUCUCAAUAAUUUAUUGAUUAAGCCAAAAUGAAGACACAUUCUUUUA